ensembl:misc_RNA 7SK 7SK RNA
GGAUGUGAGGGCAAUCUGGCUGCGACUUUUGUCACCCCUUUGAUCACCAGGGUUGAUUUGGCUGACCUGGCUUGCUAGGAGAGUGUCCCCUUCCUCCCUCACCACUCCAUGUGUGUCCCUCCCAAAGCUGUGCACUCGGUCGAAGAGGACGACCAUCCCUGUUUUUCAGUCAAGGGUGUACAAGUAGCCGUGCUCCCCUACUAGAACCUCCAAACAAGGUCUCAGGAUUUCCAUUUAAUUAGCCUUGCCUGGAGGUAGUACAGGAUGGUAAUGAUUUUUUCCCCCUAGAAACUUGCAAGAGAGAAGUCUUACAUAUAAAAAGUAAAUUCUCUUUGUAGAAUUU